rnacentral:rRNA from 1 species
GAUGAACGCUAGCUAUAGGCUUAACACAUGCAAGUCGAGGGACCGGCGCACGGGUGAGUAACGCGUAUCCAACCUGCCCAUAACUAAGGGAUAACCCAGCGAAAGUUGGACUAAUACCUUAUGGUUAUGGAUGGGGAUGCGUCUGAUUAGCUUGUUGGCGGGGUAACGGCCCACCAAGGCAACGAUCCGUAGGGGUUCUGAGAGGAAGGUCCCCCAGAUUGGAACAGAGGCACGGUCCAAUAUGCGACGGGGGACAGGAGUGAGGAAUAUUGGGCAAGGGACGCAAGUCUGAACCAGCCGAGUAGCGUGCAGGAUGACGGCGUAUGAGUGGUAAACUGCUUUUAUAUGGGGAUAGGUACCAUAUGAAUAAGGACCGGCUAAUUCCGUGCCAGCAGCCGCGGUAAUUC